AUUGCUUGUCGGCCUUUUGGCUAAGAUCAAGUGUAGUUUCUGUUCUUAUCACUUUAAAACUAAAGAGUGUCUUUCACCAAGUUGAUGAUCCUCCAGCUGCAGUUGAUGUUUGUCUCGGUGUGUGUCCCUGGGAACAGCCCGUUUAGCACAGAGUCCUGUGUCACUGAACUGCUCAGGAUGAACCUU